rnacentral:lncRNA from 1 species
AAUCUCGGGUUGCUGCAACCUCUGCCUCAUGGAUUCAAGCAAUUCUUAUGCCUCAGCCUCCCAGCAGGGGACCUCCUCGCCCACGACCUGCCCCAGCAGUUGGAGAGGCUGAAGAUAAAGAAAAUCAGCAAGCCACCAGUGGUCCAAACCAGCCGUCUGUUCGCCGUGGAUACCGGCGUCCCUACAAUUACCGGCGUCGCCCGCGUCCUCCUAACGCUCCUUCACAAGAUGGCAAAGAGGCCAAGGCAGGUGAAGCACCAACUGAGAACCCUGCUCCACCCACCCAGCAGAGCAGUGCUGAGUAACACCAGGCUCCUCAGGCACCUUCACCAUCGGCAGGUGACCUAAAGAAUUAAUGACCAUUCAGAAAUAAAGCAAAAAGCAGGCCACAACCUUAACCAACACCAAAGAAACAUCCAAGCAAUAAAGUGGAAGACUAACCAAGAUUUGGACAUUGGAAUGUUUACUGUUAUUCUUUAAGAAACAACUACAAAAAGAAAAUGUCAACAAAUUUUUCCAGCAAGCUGAGAACCUGGGAAUUCCUGCACGGAAGACAAGAGAGUAGCCUCUCCAGUUUCAGCAACCGCUAGGUUUCUAUUUUUUUUCCUGGUUUUUACUGUUUUGGUAAUAUAUAUAUUGAAACAAGAAAUAUUAAUACCACAUGGGGAGAACCCCAA